rnacentral:rRNA from 1 species
UACGUAGGGACCGAGCGUUGUCCGGAUUCAUUGGGCGUAAAGAGCUCGUAGGCGGUUCGGUAAGUCAGGUGUGAAAACUCCAGGCUCAACUUGGAGACGCCACCUGAUACUGUCGUGACUAGAGUCCGGUAGGGGAGCAUGGAAUUCCUGGUGUAGCGGUGAAAUGCGCAGAUAUCAGGAGGAACACCAGCGGCGAAGGCGGUGCGCUGGGCCGGAACUGACGCUGAGGAGCGAAAGCGUGGGGAGCGAACAGG